rnacentral:rRNA from 1 species
AGUUUCUUGGAUUUAAAAAAGAAGUGGUUUCUGCCCGGUGACUUUUGUUUAACGGCUGCGGUAAUUUGACCGUGCAAAGGUAGCAUAAUCAUUUGCUUCGUAAUUGGGGGCUGGUAUGAAUGGGAGAACCAAAAUUAAAGCUUUUUUAGUUUUUGAGUUGAAAGUUUCUGUUUAGGUGAAGAAGCCUAAAAAAAAAAGGGGACAAGAAGACCCUAUUGAGCUUUACUUUUUCUUUGGUAGUUUAAACGUUUUUAUCAAGAAAAAGUUUUACUGGGGCGGUAAAAGAAGAUAAAAUCUUCUUUUCUUUUUUUAGGGAUGUGUUUCUUUGAUCCAUGCUUUUUGAGAAAAGGAAUAAGUUACCGUAGGGAUAACAGCGUAAUUUUUUUGGAAAGUUCUUAUUAAUAAAAAAGUUUGCGACCUCGAUGUUGACUUUUAAUUGCUUUUUGGUGCAGAAGCCAAAAUGGUGGGUCUGUUCGACCCUUAAAAUUAA